AUGAAAUACAUAGCAAAGCAAUCAAUUGUAGCAAAACUCAUACUAUCUCCACUCCUCUUUGUCAUUGCGAUUGAUCCUCUCCAACAAGUUCUUAAUGUGGCCACUCGCCACAGGAUAAUCCACAAAAUCAAGGGGCAUGGCACUUGCUUUCAAACAUCUAUCUAUGCGGACGAUGCGACUGUUUUUUUUGUCAAGCAUUUAAAGGAGUAUGUUUUGAACCUUGCAACCAUCUUGGUUUGCUUUGGUCAGGCCAUGGGGUUAUGCAUACAAGAGCUUUGUCAUCCCUAUAAGAUGCGGGAACUUGAAGUUGGACGAGAUCUUCCAUGUGGCCUUUCUCUCUCAUUGCGACAACUCAAGAGGGUCGAUUGCAUAUACCUUCAUGAUAAGGUCGCGGGCAAACUUGCCCCUUUGGAGGGAGGGAAUAUCACCUUGAAGGGUCGGUGCAUUCUUGUCAAACCGGUGCUCACCUCGCAAGUGGUCUACCACGCGACCUCCCUUGUCAUUCCUCUGGUCCGGGAAGAACAAGAUGACUGA
rnacentral:rRNA from 1 species